GAUGAACGCUAGCGGCAGGCUUAACACAUGCAAGUCGAGGGGCAGCAUAAUGGAUAGCAAUAUCUAUGGUGGCGACCGGCGCACGGGUGCGUAACGCGUAUGCAACCUACCUUUAACAGGGGGAUAACACUGAGAAAUUGGUACUAAUACCCCAUAAUAUCAUAGAAGGCAUCUUUUAUGGUUGAAAAUUCCGAUGGUUAGAGAUGGGCAUGCGUUGUAUUAGCUAGUUGGUGGGGUAACGGCUCACCAAGGCGACGAUACAUAGGGGGACUGAGAGGUUAACCCCCCACACUGGUACUGAGACACGGACCAGACUCCUACGGGAGGCAGCAGUGAGGAAUAUUGGUCAAUGGACGCAAGUCUGAACCAGCCAUGCCGCGUGCAGGAUGACGGCUCUAUGAGUUGUAAACUGCUUUUGUACGAGGGUAAACGCAGAUACGUGUAUCUGUCUGAAAGUAUCGUACGAAUAAGGAUCGGCUAACUCCGUG
rnacentral:rRNA from 2 species